GUAGUCUUAGAAUUCAACCACUACCUAGUAACACCUAUACAUAGCUAAUGUCACUGCUAAUGUCACUGAAUUGACACUUUGAAACUGCCUUUCUACUUGUUCGGGUAAGACUUCUGAAAGGCUUCUUUCUGUAAGUUGAAGCACCAGACUCAGUAGCUAAAGUAAGGUAAGCUGCCCGGGGUUAAUAAAGAAGUGAAGUGGUCUACUUCCGCAUCUGGUAUAAGGCAAGUAAGUCUUCAUCCCGGUAGUAGUUGCACCGGUAGCAUCCUUACCUAGACCUGGACUUUAGCCAACACCUAAAGAUUCAAAUGGACCACUACUUGCUGGGGAUUCCAUUCGUACUAGGCGAACAGAAAGAGAUGCUCUUGCUCGUGUUUCAUCCCGAGUUCAAUCUAUUGUUUCAUCUAUUUGUUUCAAUAAGAAUAGUUAUAGGGAUAGAUCUAGCACAUAUCAUAUAGAGAUUGCAUCAGUUCCCGUAUCUGCUCUUUCAACUUAUGAUUAUGCUGAUCUACCAGUGGCUAACUCCGGUGCUCAAGAGACUAUUUUAUGCUUCCUUGCAGACCCAGCAAACACAGAGGAAACCCGGUCUUCUUAUAGCCCACUAGUUUACUUCAAUUCAAUACCAAUUGUAUACCUUGCCUCAACUUACAAUAAGGGCCUCAACUCUGUCUCUUUGAACUCAGGCUAAUCUAUUGGAGUUCUGGAUCUGGCAAUUCCAUAAGUUUGUCUUGUAGCCUUGGCGGUCAUUAUACUAAGCUUGGUGGACUCGGUAUUGACUUGUAUUAACUCGAACUAGCAGCCCUGACGCUUGGAACUCGCUACCUAGCAACAUUAUACCAAGCUUGCAAUUACUUAA
rnacentral:lncRNA from 1 species